AUAAACACUUGGCCAUGGAGGUACCAUGAUCGCCUCCCAGCGUAAGGCUCAUCCACUGCACUCAGGUUGUGUUGACCUCUGCAAUUUCCCCAAAUGUGGGAAACUCGACUGCAUAAUAUGUUAGUAGGAGUUAUUGGGGUGCUUG
rnacentral:snRNA from 1 species